rnacentral:rRNA from 1 species
UACGUAGGGGGGCAAGCGUUGUCCGGAAUUAUUGGGCGUAAAGCGCGCGCAGGCGGCCGUUUAAGUCUGAUGUUUAAGCCCGGGGCUCAACCCCGGAUCGCAUUGGAAACUGGGUGGCUGGAGUGCAGAAGAGGAGAGUGGAAUUCCACGUGUAGCGGUGAAAUGCGUAGAGAUGUGGAGGAACACCAGUGGCGAAGGCGACUCUCUGGGCUGUAACUGACGCUGAGGCGCGAAAGCGUGGGGAGCAAACAGG